rnacentral:rRNA from 1 species
AUUGAACGCUGGCGGCAGGCCUAACACAUGCAAGUCGAGCGGCAGCGGGAGAAAGCUUGCUUUCUUGCCGGCGAGCGGCGGACGGGUGAGUAAGGUAUGGGGAUCUGGCCGAAGGCGGGGGAUAACCACUGGAAACGGUGGCUAAUACCGCAUAAUCUCUAAGGAGCAAAGUGGGGGACCUUCUGGCCUCACACCUUCGGAUGAACCCAUAUGAGAUUAGCUAGUAGGUGGGGUAAAGGCUCACCUAGGCGACGAUCUCUAGCUGGUCUGAGAGGAUGAUCAGCCACACUGGGACUGAGACACGGCCCAGACUCCUACGGGAGGCAGCAGUGGGGAAUAUUGCACAAUGGGCGCAAGCCUGAUGCAGCCAUGCCGCGUGUAUGAAGAAGGCCUUCGGGUUGUAAAGUACUUUCAGUCGUGAGGAAGGUGUUAAGGUUAAUAGUCUUAGCAAUUGACGUUAGCGACAGAAGAAGCACCGGCUAACUCCGUGCCAGCAGCCGCCGUAA